AUGGCCGUCUACGAUCCCCUCACACGGGCUCUGGAUCUCUUCGCCGUGCCACCGGAGGAGGUCUGCAGCGACAUGUACGUUGAGUUCCACAUGCUCGCCUCUGAAUGCCACAGGCAGUACCGCAUCGUCUCUGUCGCUCAUGAAAGGCGGGGGGCGCAAGCUGCCUUGUUCUCAUCAGAUACCAGGGAGUGGCAGGUUUUCCCGUUUUCGGAGGAUGCCAGCCCGCCGGACGAUGGUUUGGGUGGUACAAUGGUGAAUGGGUCUGUUUAUUGGACAUUUGCAAGCGGAUCCAAUAUCCGUGUGCCGAACACUGCCACACUGCAAUUCUCGGAAAUCAAUCCGCCGCUGCACAUGGAAGGGCAAGGGGAAUUUAAGCCUGGUGAGACCAAGGAUGGGAAGGUCUGUUUGGUCUGCGCAGUUAAGCUCACGCUUGUUGUUUGGAUCUGGAGACCCGACGAUGACGGUGUUGAUAGAUGGAUCCUGGACAAAACAAUUUCGCUGCAGGAUGGUUUGGGUGGUGAUGUUGCUCUCAAUAUUGUGGCGAUUAUCAGUGGCUUUGUGUAUUUUUCUACUUUUUCUGAGAUGAAUCAGGAUUCUUGCUUGUUCAUGUCCUACUGCUUUGAAACAGAAAAGCUGAAUAAGCUGUGCCCUGUCACUCACUCUUACCAUUCCUAUCCCUACAUCAUGGGGUUCCCUCCUUCAUUGGUAUGCAAUAAGAAAGUAGCUGAAGCUUACUUCUAUGCUUGGAAGAAGUAUUCUAUGGGGAUUAACAAUGUUUCCUUAAUGCCAAAUGGGAACUCAGAUGGUUCUCGGUUACUUUUUAGCUAG
rnacentral:rRNA from 1 species